rnacentral:lncRNA from 1 species
UUUCAUUUUAAGUUUGGGGUAGCCCCAUAAGAAGCUGAAUAAGGUGAGUGCGAAAAAAAUAUAAGAAAAACGAUGAUCGAAAAAUAAAAAUAAAAAAGAAAGAUAGGAAAAGAGAGAAUCUGGUGGAACAAAGAAAAGCACUCACCAAAUGAAAAGACUUAGUUGGAUAUAAAAUCAAAAACAAAAAGAACUGAGUAACUGAGCUGAAAAAAAAAGGAAAUGUCAAUGGUAUUUUAGAAUAAACACAGUGAAAAGAAUAAUAACAUCGACUCUGAACCAAAAGAUCAUUUAUAUCCCUUCCAUAUCCCACCUUAACCCAAGUCCUG